rnacentral:rRNA from 1 species
AUUGAACGCUGGCGGCAGGCCUAACACAUGCAAGUCGAACGAGUGGCGGACGGGUGAGUAAUGUCUGGGAAACUGCCUGAUGGAGGGGGAUAACUACUGGAAACGGUAGCUAAUACCGCAUACCAUCAGAUGUGCCCAGAUGGGAUUAGCUAGUUGGUGGGGUAACGGCGCACCAAGGAGACGAUCCCUAGCUGUGCUGAGAGGAUGACCAGGCGCAAGGGAACUGAGGAUCGGUACAGACGCGUACGGGAGGCAGCAGUGGGGAAUAGUGCACAGUGGGCGCAAGCCUGAUGCAGCCAUGCCGCGUGUAUGAAGAAGGCAGUCGGGUUGUAAAGUACUUUAAGCGGGGAGGCGUUACCCGCAGAAGAAGCACCGGCUAACUCCGUGCCAGCCGCCGCGGUAAUAC